AUGCGAGAGCUUGGGGAUUUCGUUCAAUACACCACAAGCUUCCAAACGAAAUCCAAAUUAAAGAUAAGCAAUAAAGGAAGGCAAAGUUUAGAAACUUACCUAACGGACUGGUUCUGGCGACCUUUCUACGACGUCGAAGUCGCAAAAAAACUAGAGGCACAACUGAAAAGUCAGGUAAAAAGUAUUUGA